GGAGUUUGGACCGUGUCUCAGUUCCAAUGUGGGGGACCUUCCUCUCAGAACCCCUACUGAUCGUUGGCUCGGUGGGCCGUUACCCCGCCGACUACCUAAUCAGACGCAUCCCCAUCCUAUAGCGGUGAACCUUUGUUCCAACUUAGAUGUCUGCAUUGGAAAACAUAGAGUAUUAAUCCGACUUUCGCCGGGCUAUCCUCUACUAUAGGGAAGGUUGGAUACGCGUUACUCACCCGUGCGCCGGUCGCCAUCAAUCAAAGCAAGCUUCGAUCAUGCUGCCCCUCGACUUGCAUGUGUUAAGCCUGUAGCUAGCGUUCAUC
rnacentral:rRNA from 1 species